rnacentral:snRNA from 1 species
GGAUGUGAGGGUGAUCUGGCUCUGCUCUCUGUCACCCCAUUGAUUGCUAGGGUUGAUGUAGCUGAUCUGGAUGGUUAGUGGGUGUCCCCUCCCUCCCUCACUGCUCCAGUGAGCUUCAGGAGGACUCCAAGCUCCCAGCUUAGUCAAAUAGGAUGGGGCACCCCAAUACAGGAGCACCAUUCCUCAGUCAAAGUUAUAUGGAAA